AUUGAACGCUGGCGGCAGGCCUAACACAUGCAAGUCGAACGGUAACAGGAAGAAGCUUGCUUCUUUGCUGACGAGUGGCGGACGGGUGAGUAAUGUCUGGGAAACUGCCUGAUGGAGGGGGAUAACUACUGGAAACGGUAGCUAAUACCGCAUAACGUCGCAAGACCAAAGAGGGGGACCUUCGGGCCUCUUGCCAUCGGAUGUGCCCAGAUGGGAUUAGCUAGUAGGUGGGUAACGGCUCACCUAGGCGACGAUCCCUAGCUGGUCUGAGAGGAUGACCAGCCACACUGGAACUGAGACACGGUCCAGACUCCUACGGGAGGCAGCAGUGGGGAAUAUUGCACAAUGGGCGCAAGCCUGAUGCAGCCAUGCCGCGUGUAUGAAGAAGGCCUUCGGGUUGUAAAGUACUUUCAGCGGGGAGGAAGGGAGUAAAGUUAAUACCUUUACUCAUUGACGUUACCCGCAGAAGAAGCACCGGCUAACUCCGUG
rnacentral:rRNA from 1 species